UACGUAGGGGGCGAGCGUUGUCCGGAAUUACUGGGCGUAAAGGGUGCGUAGGUGGCCUUUUAAGUUGGAUGUGAAAUACCCGGGCUUAACCUGGGGGGUGCAUCUAAUACUGGAAGGCUAGAGUGCAGGAGAGGAAAGCGGAAUUCCUAGUGUAGCGGUGAAAUGCGUAGAUAUUAGGAGGAACACCAGUGGCGAAGGCGGCUUUCUGGACUGUAACUGACACUGAGGCACGAAAGCGUGGGGAGCAAACAGGAUUAGAUACCCUGGUAGUCCACGCGGUAAACGAUGAAUACUAGGUGUAGGGGGUAUCAACUCCCCCUGUGCCGGAGCUAACGCAAUAAGUAUUCCGCCUGGGGAGUACGGCCGCAAGGUUGAA
rnacentral:rRNA from 1 species